AGAGAAGGCUAUGGCUGCAGUUUAUGCUCCAAUGCUGUUCACUGGAUUGUUAAUGAGCUUUUGUGGAGGAAGCUUCGGAGCCGGUGGAUGGACUGAAGUCAUACCUCCGAACACACUCCAGUACCGCGAACUAGCACAGUUCGCCUACAUUGAUCGAAAGGUUCUUCGAAGCGCUGAAGGUCUAACGUUCCUCAUUACGCAAGCCAGAUGGAAGGCUGGAAGAGGAACAGCGCACAACAUUGGUUUCAUUGUCCUUGCAGGGAAUACGCUUGUCGAGAAAUGUAUCGCCAUAGUUUUGGUGACCCCAAUUUCUACAUAUGGAAGAAGAAAGGCCGUCAAUAAGUUUUGGUGCAGACCAGUUUCACGAAAUAGGACAUGGCUGCAGUUGGCACUUCAACGCUCCUCAUCGGAUUACUCGUGAGCUUUUGUAACGAAAGCUUUGAAGCUGGUGGAUGGACAGAAGGCCCGCAACCGAACACACCAGCAUUUCAAGCAAUCGCACACUACGCCUACGUGAGUAAGAAGCCCCGUUCCAGUGACUUUCAAGGCCUGAGAUACCACGUAACACAAGCCAGAUGGAAGGUUUUUCAGGGAAUAAUCUACAACCUUGGAUUCAUUGUCUUCCGCGGAAAUAGGCUGAUCGAGAAAUGCAUCGCCAUGGUUGCCGUGCCCCCACCUGAUAGACCUCGAAGGAGAGGGGUCGUCAUUAAGUUUUGGUGCAGAUGAGGUAUUUCAGACUCGCUUUACGGAGGAACGUGUGAGGACAGCUUGGUUGUCAGCAAGCCAACGUGAUUUAGGUUCAGGUGCUCUGUGCCCAACUGAAAGUAGCGGAUUAAAU